rnacentral:rRNA from 1 species
GUGAAAAGCCCGCUCGCCGGAAGACCAAGGGUUCCUGUCCAACGUUAAUCGGGGCAGGGUGAGUCGACCCCUAAGGCGAGGCCGAAAGGCGUAGUCGAUGGGAAACGGGUUAAUAUUCCCGUACUUGGUGUUACUGCGAAGGGGGGACGGAGAAGGCUAUGUUGGCCGGGCGACGGUUGUCCCGGUUUAAGCGUGUAGGUGUGUGUUCCAGGUAAAUCCGGUUCACUUUAACACUGAGGCGUGAUGACGAGGCACUACGGUGCUGAAGCAACAAAUGCCCUGCUUCCAGGAAAAGCCUCUAAGCAUCAGGUAACAUCAAAUCGUACCCCAAACCGACACAGGUGGUCAGGUAGAGAAUACCAAGGCGCUUGAGAGAACUCGGGUGAAGGAACUAGGCAAAAUGGUGCCGUAACUUCGGGAGAAGGCACGCUGACAC